rnacentral:rRNA from 1 species
AUUGAACGCUGGCGGCAUGCCUUACACAUGCAAGUCGAACGGUAACAGGUUAAGCUGCCGAGUGGCGAACGGGUGAGUAAUGUAUCGGAACGUGCCCAGUCGUGGGGGAUAACUGCUCGAAAGAGCAGCUAAUACCGCAUACGACCUGAGGGUGAAAGCGGGGGAUCGCAAGACCUCGCGCGAUUGGAGCGGCCGAUAUCAGAUUAGGUAGUUGGUGAGGUAAAGGCUCACCAAGCCGACGAUCUGUAGCUGGUCUGAGAGGACGACCAGCCCACUGGGACUGAGACACGGCCCAGACUCCUACGGGAGGCAGCAGUGGGGAAUUUUGGACAAUGGGCGCAAGCCUGAUCCAGCCAUGCCGCGUGCGGGAAGAAGGCCUUCGGGUUGUAAACCGCUUUUGUCAGGGAAGAAAAGGUUCUGGCUAAUACCUGGGACUCAUGACGGUACCUGAAGAAUAAGCACCGGCUAACUACGUG